rnacentral:lncRNA from 1 species
UAUCCAGUGUAAUAGUCGGGGCUUCCAAUAACGAGUGUACCGUAUCGAUUUCUCGCCAUCGGGAGACUGGGUGGUCGUCCGAAGCUCUCAUCCGUGCAUAUCCCUAAUGAACAAAUGAGAGAUAACUGCUGGCGAGGAAAGAGGGGGGAAAAAAACGUAAUAGCCAUGGCGAUAUUCUCUUAUUAUACAAUCUCGGCUUCUCCUAGAGGCUACAGCGUCGAUUCCGCGGUUGGUCAGAGCGUCAUUGCCCGCCUCUCAAACGACCUAUUCUUUCCCGUUUUUUGUUUGUUCACGACAAGAGUAUAAUACCCGUCCAAUUGAUUUUCCUUUUUCUCAAAAUUGUAAUCUGGUAUACUUUCAUAACCCGGCACUUUGGAAGAAAAAAACGAAAACUGUACCUUGGCAUUUACGUAUUCAAAAUAAAACGUCUUCUCCCAAG